rnacentral:rRNA from 1 species
UUUGGUGAUGAUGGCAGAGAGGUCACACCCGUUCCCAUACCGAACACGGAAGUUAAGCUCUCUAGCGCCGAUGGUAGUUGGGACCUUGUAC